UACGGAGGGUGCAAGCGUUACUCGGAAUUACUGAGCGUAAAGCGUGCGCAGGCGGUUUGUUAAGUCUGUUGUGAAAUCCCCGAGCUCAACUUGGGAAUUGCAAUGGAUACUGGCAGGCUGGAGUAUGGUAGAGGAAGGUGGAAUUCCCGGUGUAGCAGUGAAAUGCGUAGAGAUCGGGAGGAACACCAGUGGCGAAGGCGGCCUUCUGGACCAAUACUGACGCUCAUGCACGAAAGCGUGGGGAGCAAACAGG
rnacentral:rRNA from 1 species